rnacentral:rRNA from 1 species
UACGUAGGGGGCAAGCGUUGUCCGGAUUUAUUGGGCGUAAAGAGCGUGUAGGCGGCCAGAUAGGUCUGCUGUGAAAACUCGAGGCUCAACCUCGAGCUGUCGGCGGAAACCAUUUGGCUAGAGUCCGGAAGAGGAGAGUGGAAUUCCUGGUGUAGCGGUGAAAUGCGCAGAUAUCGAGAGGAACACCGGUGGCGAAGGCGGGGUCUCUGGGCCGAUAUUGACGUGAGGAGCGAAAGCGUGGGGAGCAAACAGG